UAGGGAAUAUUGGGCAAUGGAGGCAACUCUGACCCAGCCACGCCGCGUGCAGGAUGAAGGCCCUCUGGGUUGUAAACUGCUUUUGUAUGGGAAGAAAAUGCUUCUGCGGAAGUGACUGACGGUACCAUACGAAUAAGCAUCGGCUAACUCCGUGCCAGCAGCCGCGGUAAUACGGAGGAUGCGAGCGUUGUCCGGAUUUACUGGGUUUAAAGGGAGCGUAGGCGGGUUAGUAAGUGAGAGUUGAAAGGCAGUUGCUCAACAAUUGUAAGGCUCUCAUACUGCUAAUCUUGAGUGUACUGGAGGCAGAUAGAAUGGGUGGAGUAGCGGUGAAAUGCAUAGAUACCAUCCAGAAUACCGAUUGCGAAGGCAUUCUGCUACAUUACAACUGACGCUGAGGCUC
rnacentral:rRNA from 1 species